rnacentral:rRNA from 1 species
CCUACGGGUGGCAGCAGUGGGGGAUAUUGCACAAUGGGGGAAACCCUGAUGCAGCGACGCCGCGUGGGUGAAGAAGCGCCUCGGCGCGUACAGCCCUGUCAGCAGGGAAGAAAAUGACGGUACCUGAAGAAGAAGCACAGGCUAACUACGUGCCAGCAGCCGCGGUAAUACGUAGGGGGCAAGCGUUAUCCGGAUUUACUGGGUGUAAAGGGGGCGAAGCCGGCGAUGCAAGCCAGGAGGUAAAGCCCGGGGCCCAACCCCGGGACUGCUCUUGGAACUGCGUGGCUAGAGUGCAGGAGGGGCAGGCGGAAUUCCUGGUGUAGCGGUGAAAUGCGUAGAUAUCAGGAGGAACACCGGUGGCGAAGGCGGCCUGCUGGACUGCAACUGACGUUGAGGCCCGAAAGCGUGGGGAGCAAACAGGAUUAGAUACCCCAGUAGUC